CGAUUAAAUGAUGUAAGCCCUGUAAAGCACAGUGCUUGGCACAUAGAAAGUGCUCACCAAAUGUCACUGUUAUAAUUAAAGUUGAUGGAGAAACAGAGAUUUAGAAAGAGGUAAGUUAAUUUGCCUAAGUGAUACAGCAAAUAUAAAUGACCGAAAAGUGACUUGCACCUGGGAAGUUGACUCCAUUGCUCUUUUUUUUCUUUCUUAAAUAGGCUCCACAUCCAACCUGGGGCUUGAACUUAACAACUCUGAAAUCAAGAGUUGCUUGCCACUGACUGAGCCAGCCAGGCACCCCAUUCAGAGCUCUUGUUUCUUAACCGUGACGUUGUACUGCAUUGUGCAUGGAUUGAGGGUGAUGGUGAGAGCCUGGACAAAAACUGCAUUUUGUCUAGCUUAAGAUGAAAAGUGGUCUUGUCACUGUAAUACAGUAGUUGAGAAUGUGACCCUGAUAUGAUGUGAUAUGGUAUAUAAUUCUAGAGCCAACCUGCUGAACUUGGACAUAACUGCUUACUGUGUGACCUCGGGUAGACUUCAAAAUCAGUGUGCCAAGUCCUCCUCCCUUGGACUGCACAGUGGAGCUGGAAACAUGAGUGAUCCCAGUGGAGUCCUUUGUAGACAUAAGCACCAACCAUACCAGGAGCUGGAUUUGAUCGGGCUGGACUUCUUGAUGCAGAAAUCACAUGGCCCUUUAAAAAGGAAGAAACCCCUCACUGCCACUGACUUCCACUUGGGGGCAUUUCCCGGUCUCUGA
rnacentral:lncRNA from 1 species